UUCAGCAUUAUGGAUAUACAGGCUCUAUUCU
rnacentral:piRNA from 1 species